UAGACCGAUAGCGAACAAGUAGAGUGAUCGAAAGAUGAAAAGCACUUUGAAAAGAGGGUUAAAUAGCACGUGAAAUUGUUGAAAGGGAAGCGCUUGUGACCAGACUUGUGCCGGGCUGAUCAUCCAGUGUUCUCACUGGUGCACUCGACCCGGCUCAGGCCAGCGUCGGUUCUCGUAGGGGGAUAAAAGCUUCGGGAACGUGGCACCUUCGGGUGUGUUAUAGCCCGUUGCUUAAUACCCUUGUGGGGACCGAGGUUCGCGCUCUGCAAGGACGCUGGCAUAAUGGUCAUCAGCGACCCGUCUUGAAACACGGACCAAGA
rnacentral:rRNA from 1 species